UGUCAUUUUGUCCAGGAAAAAUUAACUGAAUGGCAUCUCAGUGAGCUGAUUCACAGUUUUGAAGAGGAGGGUAUUGACAAAGAAGCUUUCCUAAGUCUCGAGUCAGGCAGAAUCAAUACUUUGAUUCCAAAAAUUGGACCAAGAGUAAAGUUUAAAAGGAGGCUCAGAGAAUACUUACAGGACUUGAAUAGAACACAUGAUGAUUCUGCUGACAUGAUGGAAACAAGCGCAGAGCAAGAGGACA